rnacentral:piRNA from 1 species
UCUGCAGUCCAGGCCUAGUGCGGAAGUAGA